CCUGAUUGCAAACUAUCCAGUAGUAUUUGUUUAAAAUACUGGCCGAUAUCGCUGUAGUGAUACUUUUGGGUGUUGGUGCCAGUGACUGAGUUUGAAACCCGUUGAUAUCUUAAUUCAUGGAUCAAAAAGAAUAUGAAAAAUAGUGUUACGCGUCAUUUGCAAUGCAAACUAUUAUGAACAUUCCACCUUCUUCUUUUUUGUGCCCUUCUUUUCCUUGUCUGCCAAUGGCAAGUACAUCACUACAAAGAAAGUAAACGGAUCAAGCUUCAGUUUCUCCUCUUCUCCCUCUUAUGUAACUUCGCAUAGAAUCAGAGACGAGACGGAUGGAUAUGAAUUGAAUUCAUCAAAUCCAGACGGUAUAGGGUCUAUCUUUCCCCAUAUUCAAUCAGAAAGCAAGUGGUUGGUGUGUGUUUUGUCUGAUUGAGUUUCAUUCCCAUCCCAAAAAUAGAUGAUAGGGGAUGUCAAAGCAGCAGCAGUCCCAAAAUGUUACAGUCAUCUAAAGCAGUAUGAGUAUGAUGAUUGGCUUGCUGCUGAGAGUGUGUCAUCCAUGGGAGGAGUGAAGAAAACUAAUUAUGAAUAUGUAUUUUUGUUCCGCAGGUAGUUAUUAGUGAUAGACAGACACAAGGAAUUUGCUUACUACUGCUGAGGGUUGGUUGCUGCUGGAAAGAAACCCAUGGCAUGGCAUUGAAAACUCCACUCUGAAAUUUGAUUUCGAGGGUUGUUUCAGAUUGUUAAUGAUGAUGCUAGACAGAGAUGAGGAUUGUUACUACUGCUCGUAGGUCGAGUUUGGUAGUCAUUUGUUCUUGAGAUAAUGUUACUCCAUCCGUCCCACUAUUAGAUGACAUAGUUCAAGUUUGCACAAUUCUUAAGGCAAGGAAUGAAAAAGAGUAUUUGUUAAGUAUUUUUUAUAAUUAUACCCUUAUAGAUAAUAAUUUGUAAAAUUUAGAAUUAAUUUAUCUCUCAAACUAUAUCACGGAUUUUCGUAAACUUUGAAUCAUUGAAAAGCAUU